UCCGUAGGCGGUUUGGAAAGUCGGGUGUGGAAUCCUACAGCUUAACUGUAGAACUGCAUUCGAAACUUCCAGGCUAGAGUGUGAGAGGGGUAAAGGGAAUUCCCGGUGUAAGGGUGAAAUCUGCAGAUAUCGGGAAGAACACCAGUCGCGAAGGCGCUUUACUGGCUCACCACUGACGCUGAGGGACGAAAGCUAGGGUAGCCAACG
rnacentral:rRNA from 1 species